GGACUGCCUUUUGCAUAAUGAGCCUGCGAGUUGUGGUGUCUGGCAAGGUUAAGCAAACGCGAAGCCGUAGCGAAAGCGAGUCUGAAUAGGGCGCUUAGUCAGAUGCUGCAGACCCGAAACGAAGUGAUCUAUCCAUGAGCAAGUUGAAGCUAGUGUAAGAACUAGUGGAGGACUGAACCCAUAGGCGUUGAAAAGCCCCGGGAUGACUUGUGGAUAGGGGUGAAAGGCCAAUCAAACUUCGUGAUAGCUGGUUCUCUCCGAAAUAUAUUUAGGUAUAGCGUUGUGUCGUAAUAUAAGGGGGUAGAGCACUGAAUGGGCUAGGGCAUACACCAAUGUACCAAACCCUAUCAAACUCCGAAUACCUUAUAUGUAAUCACAGCAGUCAGGCGGCGAGUGAUAAAAUCCGUCGUCAAGAGGGAAACAACCCAG
rnacentral:rRNA from 1 species